UGCCAGCAACAGCAGACGAUGGAUCACGUCACCAGAGUCUACUGUACUAUACUACAGCGCUGGCGUAGAGCGAGCAGUGAACCGCCGCCAUUAGUCCUGCCACACUCACAACAAACAGCUUCACCGCAGCCUCACACCUUUCUUCCUCCAGCCAUGUCUAAGCCAUAUAUCAUUGACAAGUGCCCGGGGAGUGAACUCACUUUCACAAAUUGUGCUAUCUUCAGUACUGUUGACGAUUUUAUAACCAAGUCAAUCAAAUAUGUCAUCAUCAAAAAUCCUAGAGGUAUUGACUAUAAAAUCUCAGUCAUUCACAGUGACCAAGUGGGAAGAAGUCGUGUGACAUUUAAUGCAUUACAUAGGAACUGGGCAAGCCUUCCACUUAACCAAAAGGUGGAUGUGACUCCCAUUCCAGAAGGUUCCUUGGAUUCUAUUGAGUCUAUCAUUGUUGACAUUGAUUUCUUCAGCAAGAAGAAAAUAUCAAAUGAUCCCAUGGAUUCUGAAUGUAUUACGAAUGAGUUUAUUCAAAAGUUUACUGGGAUUUUAUUCUCAGUUGGAAUGCCAUUUGCGUUUGAGUUUGAAAUGAAGAAAACGGUCUUUUCAGCUUCUGUAAAAGAGAUUAAAGUGUUUGAUAUUGCAAACCAAGUGGGUGGCACAGCCGGUGUACGAGGGGGUAUUACUGGUAGAUUACUGAGUACAACUAAUAUCAAGUUCCUAGCUUCUGAACAUUCCGCGAUUGUUCUUGUUGGCAAGAACAAAGGGUACACAUCUGUGAUUUCUCCUGACUGGGACUUUACUAAGAUGGGCAUUGGUGGUCUGGACAAUGAAUUCUCCACCAUCUUCCGGAGAGCAUUUGCUUCUCGUGUUUUCCCACCAGAUAUUGUCAAACAGUUAGGUGUGCGUCAUGUGAAAGGAAUUCUGCUCUUUGGUCCUCCUGGUACUGGCAAAACUCUUAUUGCCAGGAAAAUAGGCCAAAUGUUGAAUGCAACAGAACCAAAGAUUGUAAAUGGUCCACAGAUCCUGGACAAGUAUGUCGGAGAGUCUGAAGCAAACAUCAGAAAAUUGUUUGCCGAUGCUGAAGAAGAAGAGAAAGCCCGUGGUAGUAACAGCCGUCUUCAUAUAAUUAUAUUUGAUGAAAUUGAUGCUAUUUGCAAGCAGAGAGGAACAGUGGGUGGAGGUACAGGUGUACACGACACAGUUGUCAACCAGCUUCUAACAAAGAUUGAUGGUGUCGAACAACUUAACAACAUUCUUGUCAUUGGUAUGACAAACCGAAGAGAUCUGAUUGAUGAUGCUCUCACCCGACCUGGACGAAUGGAGGUUCAAAUGGAGAUAGGUUUACCUGAUGAGAAAGGCAGAGUGGACAUUUUGAAAAUCCACACUAAGUCAAUGAGAGAAAGUAAACUGCUUCAUGACGAAGUUAACCUCAAAGAAAUUGCAAGUAAAACAAAGAACUUUAGUGGAGCUGAACUCGAAGGUCUUGUACGCUGUGCAGUUUCCACUGCUAUGAACAGUUUAAUAAAGGGCUCCAAUAAAGCAGAAAUUGAUCCUACAGAGGCAGAAAAUGUCAGAAUCACCCAUGAUGAUUUCCUAAGCUCAUUGGAUGAUAUCAAACCAGCAUUUGGUCGCAGCGAUUUCAACUUCAGCUCCUUCUUUCCAAAUGGUAUCAUUGAAUGGGGUGAUUCCGUUCGUGAGGUUCUCCAAUAUGGUAACCUACUAAUUUCUCAGAUCAAAAACAGCACAAAGACACCUCUUCUGACCAUGUUGCUACAUGGUGCCCCUGGUGCUGGAAAGUCAGCAUUUGCAGCCUAUCUGAUGGCCAACUCAGAUCUGCCUUUCGUCAAGAUCUGUUCCCCUGAGCAAAUGAUUGGAUACAGUGAAAUGGCCAAAGUUCAGUACAUUCGAAAGAUGUUUGAAGAUGCUUACAAGUCUCCUCUCAGCUGCAUUCUUCUUGAUGACAUUGAACGGAUUAUUGACUAUGUGGCUAUUGGUCCAAGAUUCUCCAACAAUGUACUACAAUGUCUCCUAGUCUUGCUCAAAAGAUGUCCUCCAAUGGGUCGACGUCUUCUCAUAUUUGGAACAACUGGCCUGAAAGAUGUUCUUACUGAGAUGGGAAUGUUAAAUGCUUUCAUGGCAAACCAACAUGUAUCAGUUUUAACAAAACCAGAUCAUGUUAUGGUGGCUUUACAAGAGUUGGAAAUAUUCAACUCAAAUGACUUGGAAAAGAUCAGAGACAGGAUCGGCGACAGAAGAUUCCAUUUACCAAUAAAGAAAUUGUUAAUGAUUGCAGAGUUUGCUAGGCAGGUUGAUGAAAAAGAACGACUUCAGCAGCUUCUACAUCGCUUCGAAGAUGAAGGAUGCAUGUUCUUAGACAAUAUGUAAAAAUAAAAGAGGUACAGAUUGUAGUGAAGGUGAAGGUCUAGGUUUUAAAUGAGGCAUAGUGGUAGAAUGGUAUUCAGAGAGAAAAGAGAGUAGUGAGUGAGAAGAAGGGACAUUCAAGGCGUUCAAUGCAACUGAAGUUUUUAGGUACAGCUUGAUGUAUUGGUGAAUAGACAGCAGCAUUGGAAAGCAUAAAGAUUGAAGUCAAGAAAAAGUUAGCUGACUCAGAGGACUAAAAGCCAUCAGGAUAUUGGAAAAGAGUUGCCUGUAUCAUAAGGAUUUGCACUGGGUAUCAAAAUGCCAACAUCAUGACCGCUGUGCCAUGCUUUGUGAACACUGAAACGGCUGUAAGGCAUGACACGGACAUCAUGCAAACUAAAUUCGCUCAAACUGCUAUAAUCAUUAAGUGCGUUUCCACUGAUGAUGGCACCAUGCCAUUUCAUAAGGCGGCGGGCUGGCAGAAACGUUAGAACGUCGGGCAAAAUGCUUAGCGGUAUUUCGUCUGCUGUUACGUUGUGAGUUCAAAUUCCGCCGAGGUCAACUUUACGUUUCAUCCUUUCGGGGUCGAUAAAUUAAGUACCAGUUGCACACUGGGGGUCGAUGUAAUCGACUUAAUCCAUUUGUCUGUCCUUGUUUGUUCCCUGUGUUUUGCCCUUUGUGGGUAAUAAAGAAAUAGGUACCAUGCCACCUCACAUCUUUGAACUAGGCCUUAGACUCAAUUCAGACAGCUAUGUGAAGCUGCUGAAGACUGUGGUCAAACUCUGGUUGGAGAGGGUUGCUGCUUGAAGGUCACAUGUGUGACAGCAGAAUUCAGCUCUGAUUGUCAGAGAAUUUCUCCAACUUCACCACCGGCAUUGCGUGGAUAGUACAAAAUACAAGAGAGAGAGCUGCAUGUGGAUCGGACUGUUUACAACAUAACUUUGAACAAUCGAAGACUGGACAUGAAAUUCUUUGGAUAUUAACUUAUUUGCAAAUGGAUUGCUAAAAUAUCAAAUAUAUCCUUUAAUUGACUUAUAUAAAAUGCCUUUGGGUUUCAUAA